UGCAGAUGAAGACGCACGUAAAACAAAGAGAAGAGGAGCAAGGGCAAACGUCAUUUCCUUGGGUGACUGGACAGGCCGUGUAAGGGGGGAGCACUCAAGGGAGUCGCAGCUGUGCCAGCCCCCAGGGAGCUGAGCCAGUGGAAGAAUCUGCUGAGCUGAGAAAAACAAAAGGAGACUUCGGGGUCCAUGUCACAGACUGGCUCAUGUUUAACCGCAGUCACUGAGAGAGAAGGUGUUUUCAGGAAGAAAAGAGAGGUGUAUGCGUCUGAUAGAGGUGGGACCUGAGCGGGCUGGGGGAGGCAGCGCUCUCUUCCUCCUGCCCGAGCUCUCGCCCAGCCCCUGCUCCUCCCGCGCAAGCCCACGGGCUCUGUUGCAGAUGUUAGACUCCGAU